rnacentral:rRNA from 1 species
UACGAAGGGUGCAAGCGUUACUCGGAAUUACUGGCGUAAAGCGUGCGUAGGUGGUUUGUUAAGUUCUGUUGUGAAAAGCCCCGGGCUCAACCUGGGAAUGGCAAUGGAUACUGGCAAGCUAGAGUGCGGUAGAAGGGUAGUGGAAUUCCCGGUGGUAGCGGUGAGAUGCGUAGAGAUCGGGAGGAACACCAGUGGCGAAGGCG